UACGAAGGGGGCUAGCGUUGCUCGGAAUCACUGGGCGUAAAGCGCACGUAGGCGGACUCUUAAGUCGGUGGUGAAAUCCUGGAGCUCAACUCCAGAACUGCCUUCGAUACUGAGAGUCUCGAGUCCGAGAGAGGUGAGUGGAACUGCGAGUGUAGAGGUGAAAUUCGUGAGAUAUUCGCAAGAACACCCGUGGCUAAGGCGGUUCUCUAGUACGGUACUGACGCUGAGACGCGAAAGCGUGGGGAGCGAACAGGA
rnacentral:rRNA from 1 species